CCAUAGUGCCCCGGGAAGCGUGGACGGCUGCUGGGCUGGCUGGCUGGCUGCUGACUGGUGCGUAUUUCCAGACGAUGAUCUGCAUAUCAUUUGCCUCGGCCGCAUGCUGGGAGAGGUACGGGCCUCUUGUGAAGACAGGCAUCCUGACUGAGUCUGUCAGUGGGCUGAAAUAAUCACACACAUUGUAUCGGUCUACCUUUCUGUUUGUGGUGUACUCUUGACGUACCGCUCAGCAACGCCACACAAACUGUGAAGCCUCUACAGCACAGAGGCACUAAGCUCCACACUUCCAGAGACCAAAGCGGCUGUCAGUCUACUAAUGGCUUAUGUCCAUCUUGAUGGUUAAUGCUUCAACAUUGUAUCAUCACUCCCACCAAAACUUCUGCUGUAGUACUAGCUUAAGACUAAAGCAAUACUGUUUAGGAGGAUACAUGGUAGAGACAUUUAGUGUACACAAAAAAUGAAUACUUUCUUGGCAAAUGGCAAAAAAACUGGAAGCUAAUUCCAUGCUUUAGUCAUGCCUGAUCCCUUCAAUGUGCUGCUUUAAUCUAUAAUGUUAAUAUGCACUUGAAUUUGUGAAGUUAUUGUUAAAAUGGACUAUAUGAAUUAAGGGCAGUUCUAAUUCACUGCUUGUUUUCGACAUUUUCUUUCCUAUAUCAAGGGCUGAUGAAAUUAAACUGUUUAUAUCACUCUUUUACCAAUAGUAAAUGUAUAAUAAAGUCUAUAUAAAACAGCUCAUUCACAUUUAUUAACUGUCACUGUUUAAGUCUCAUUCAUUUGCAU
rnacentral:lncRNA from 1 species